rnacentral:rRNA from 1 species
GGGGAAUAUUGCACAAUGGGGGAAACCCUGAUGCAGCGACGCCGCGUGGAGGAAGAAGGUCUUCGGAUUGUAAACUCCUGUUGUUGGGGAAGAUAAUGACGGUACCCAACAAGGAAGUGACAGCUAACUACGUGCCAGCAGCCGCGGUAAAACGUAGGUCACAAGCGUUGUCCGGAAUUACUGGGUGUAAAGGGAGCGCAGGCGGGAAGACAAGUUGGAAGUGAAAUCUAUGGGCUCAACCCAUAAACUGCUUUCAAAACUGUUUUUCUUGAGUAGUGCAGAGGUAGGCGGAAUUCCCGGUGUAGCGGUGGAAUGCGUAGAUAUCGGGAGGAACACCAGUGGCGAAGGCGGCCUACUGGGCACCAACUGACGCUGAGGCUCGAAAGUGUGGGUAGCAAACAGGAUUAGAUACCCUGGUAGUCCACACCGUAAACGAUGAUUACUAGGUGUUGGAGGAUUGACCCCUUCAGUGCCGCAGUUAACACAAUAAGUAAUCCACCUGGGGAGUACGACCGCAAGGUUGAAACUCAAAGGAAUUGACGGGGGCCCGCACAAGCAGUGGAGUAUGUGGUUUAAUUCGACGCAACGCGAAGAACCUUACCAAGUCUUGACAUCCCUUGACAGACAUAGAAAUAUGUUUUCUCUUCGGAGCAAGGAGACAGGUGGUGCAUGGUUGUCGUCAGCUCGUGUCGUGAGAUGUUGGGUUAAGUCCCGCAACGAGCGCAACCCUUAUGGUCAGUUACUACGCAAGAGGACUCUGGCCAGACUGCCGUUGACAAAACGGAGGAAGGUGGGGAUGACGUCAAAUCAUCAUGCCCUUUAUGACUUGGGCUACACACGUACUACAAUGGCGUUAAACAAAGAGAAGCAAGACCGCGAGGUGGAGCAAAACUCAGAAACAACGUCCCAGUUCGGACUGCAGGCUGCAACUCGCCUGCACGAAGUCGGAAUUGCUAGUAAUCGUGGAUCAGCAUGCCACGGUGAAUACGUUCCCG